CAAAUGAUUACCUCAACAAUUAGGAGGCCAUUGCAGACCACAUUUACCAGGCAAGGCCAAAGCAUUUUUGGGGUUUAUUCCAAAUGAAGGUAGGGUAGACUUGUAACUGCAGAGGCAACGCAAAUUGGCUUGGCGAACAACUGCACAACAUUUCUCAUCCGGUGGUGGAGGGUUUUGACCAGUAACUGCAGCACGACACAAGUUUAAUUGACUUGAGUCUAUGUUACAUAUUGCAACAGCUUGUGCACCACCCAACAAGGCAAUGAGCAAUGCUGCUACCAACCACUGCACCAAAGUUUUGCAACUAGACUGUGCCAUGCUAUACUCUAUCCUUAACCAGGUGCAGUGUUUUGUUUGGUCUGGUCUACUAUGUUUCACCAACAAAGUUAUUUAUAGUGUUUUUUGAAUGGUUGUGGAAUUAAUAAUUAUUUGCAUUUUUUUAAGCCUGUGUAGUUUCGCGUUGACUCUCUAUUGCACUAAGUCGUGCCGUGUGAGUGCUGUCGGUAGAAGAUCCAAAUUCAAGUUCACAUGGAUGUACUUAUUAGAGUAGAGAAAGUCAUCAUAACACAACAAAUUACAGUGGCCCAUUACUUGGUAAUAAUAUUUAACAAAAAUUGAAGUUCCCUGUUUUGCAUUAUGUUCCUUAGGCGUUUUGUUUUUUGUAUGAUAAUAAUGCCAAAAAAUGAAGAAUCAAGAUUUUAUCGUCAUGGCUUUAUUAGACAGAAUUUCCCUGUUUUGCAUUAUUUUCCUUAGGGCGUUUUGUUUUGUUUUGUUUGAUAAUAAUGCCAAAAAACUGAAUAAUAAUGAAGUAAAACUUAUCUCCCUUCCAUUUAUAUUUUAAAUUCUAAUUGAGUAAAAAAAGAAUCUAGACUAAAUUAAUCACUUAGACUCUUAAUUACAACUUUUAUAUACAAGGUACCAAAUUGCGACCUAAACAAAAGUUAAGAGAACGAGUAAUUUAACUAAAACUUUAUUAAUAUCAAUUAUGAUUGAUUAAGUGAUAUUUUAAUUUAAUUCAUGGAAAAAUGCAAGAUAUACUAAGAGUUUUUUUAAUCAUUGAGUUUUUUUUAUUAGGUGUGAUAUGAAAAAUUAAUUAGUUUCAUGUAACAAAAAAAGAAGUGUUUUUCUUGUGCAUAUAAUAAUUGACAUGAUCAACCAUGCCAAGGUAAGAUUAAGGUUGUUCAUGGUUUGGUUAGACAAACAAAAUUGAACUGAGCUGGAAAAAUAUUCUGAAGAACCGAACUGAACCGGUCUUUUAUAAGUUCAACGAGCCGGUUCUAUUUUAAAAAAUUGAACUAAAAUGGUAUAACUUCAUCAAUAACUUUUAUUUUAGCCAAAUAGUCAAGAUAAAUGUGAAUCAUAAGGCCAAUAACAGGUUCAAGCUAGGUUACUUUGUCGCUUUAUUAGUUAGGAGAAUUUCUUUUUUAUUUUCUUCUUUCUUAAUUGUUUAUGCUUGAGAUUCAUCUUAAUGAGAUAAGAGAAUCUGUGUGUAAUUAUGCUCAAUUAUUAUCCCGUAUUAUUAGUCUGUGAUCAUGUAAAUUAAUUUGUUUAGUCUAGAAGUAAUCUUAGGAGUUUUAUUUGGAGAAUCAAUCUAUAUAGCUCAAUCUUAGGAGAUUUUGUUGUAACUUUCUUGUAUAUAUUUAUGCCUUAGCAAAACAUGAAAUACAAAACAAAAUUAUUCUAUCAUAGAAUCCUUUAUGGUAGCAGAGCCAAUAGGUUUUGUUUGAAAUUUAGUGGCAAUGAGUCAUCAUGAAGAGAAGGUUCCUAAGAAUAAGUCUCAUAAGCAAGAAGAACAUAAGAUGGUGAAGAAGACUUCAUCAUCGUAUGAAUUAAAUUCCAACGACAACCCGAGAAUUGGAUGAGGAAAAGGAGGAACAAUGUGUGCAAAUGUUGUGCACAGUGGUGGAACAAGUGCAGACACUAGGAUCUAUGUAAAUGCUCAGAAAGAGACAGUUUAGGUUUGACUGGGCUUACUAUAAAGCAGCGGCAGACGCUGGUAGAAUUACUAAAUGCUCAUAAAACAAACUCUAAUGACAAGAUGGUAGGUGAGCGUGAUACCAAUACAUGGAUAAUUGACACAGGGGCUUCCAACCACAUGACUGGAAACCUGAAUCAUAUGCAUGAACUGCGAGAUAUUCAAAAUUGUCUAGUUGAACUUCCUAAUGGACAACAUACAACAACGACUAAAUAAGGAAGCGUGGUGCUAGAUGGAGGCUUAAAACUUACUAAUGUUCUCUAUAUGCCUAAAUUGAAUUGCAAUUUGAUAUCUGUUUCACAGAUGAUGGAUGAAUUGAAAUGUGUUGUUCAAUUCAUUGAUAAGUUAUGUGAUGUGUAGGACCGUAUUUCAAGGAUGUUGAUUGGAGCAGGUGAACGGAGGGAUGAGCUCUAUUUCUUCAAAGGAGUUCGAAAUAUGAGAGCUUACAAAAACUGAUGGUUUGUAUUCCAUGAACUUAUGGCACAAACGGUUGGGACAUCCUUCCUUGAAUAUCACCCAGUUAAUUCUUGAGGUUAGAAAACACAAAGAUAGCAAUUUUAGAGCCAAACAGACUAGAAAGAAGUUUCCUUUGAGUGAACAUAAAACUAGUAGUGCAUUUGAAUUAGUCAUUGUGAUUUAUGGGUACCAUAUAGAACUCCUUCUACUUGUUGUGCUUUUUAUUUUCUGACAAUAGUUGAUGAUUAUUCACGUGCUGUAUGGGUAUACCUAUUAGCUGAUAAAUGAGAAGUAUCGAAAAUGCUUCACAAUUUUUUUGCUCUGCUUAAGAGGCAGUUUCAUAAAGAAGUCAAAAUAUUCAUAAGUGAUAAUGAGACAGAAUUCACAUGCAUGAAAAGGUAUUUUCUUGAUCGUGGAAUAAUUUUUCAGACAUCUUGCAUCGGAAUACCCCAACAAAAUGGGAGAGUGGAAUGAAAACAUAGACAUUUGAAUGUGGCUCGAGCACUGCGAUUUCAAGGUAAUCUUCCUAUUAAGUUCUGAGGGGAAUGUAUUUAACUGCAACAUAUUUGAUUAACUGAACUCCUUCCACUGUUUUGAAUGGAAAAACUCCAUAUGAGAUGCUACGUGGGCAACAACCUACAUAUGAACAUUUGAGAAUAUUUGGCUCCUUAUAUUACACCCAUAAUCAAAGAAGGAAUGGUGAUAAAUUUGCAAGUAGGAGUAAGCUAUCCAUAUGACAAGAAAGGCUGGAAGCUGUUUGACUUAGAAACAAAAGAGAUUUUUGUCUCUCAAGAUGUUGUAUUCGUUGAGAUCAAGUAUCCUUUUUCUAUUGAUGUUACUACCAGAAAAGAUGUUCCUCCUAAAAAUUGGAGUUGUGAAGAAAUUGUUGAUGAUGUGACUGAUGGUGUAGAAGAAAUAGAUCACAUAGGAGGUACUAAAGAAAGUGGUGAUAUGAUAAUGGAUGAUAGAAGGGGUGAGCCAGAUGCGGGGUUCGAUGAACAAGGUGUUACUCUAUAAAAUAUGGACACACAAGAUAUAGUGUUUCCAUCUAUAUCACCAACUAAGCCAUUAUUGGGUAGAAGACAUAGAACCAAACAAACUUCUACUCGAUUGCAAGAUUAUGUGGCAAAUACCACCAAAAGAUUGAGCCCAUCCAACUGUUCACCCUCUCCAAAGGUAGACUCAGGUGCACCCUAUCCCAUAACUGAUUAUGUGAAUUAUGAUCAUUUUUCUUUUGCACAUCGGACUUUUCUUGCAUCCAUUUCACAGGAAAAGGAGCAUGUCACUUAUAUUGACGCGAUGAAAGACAAUCAGUGGAGAGAUGCAAUGAAAAGUGAGAUACAUGCAUUUGAGACCAAUGGAACUUGGACAGCCACACAAUUACCUCUAGGAAAGAAAGCACUUGGUUGCAAGUGGGUGUACAAAAUAAAGCAUAAAUAUGAUGGAAGUGUAGAGCAGUUCAAAGCACGGUUAGUAAUUCUUGGCAAUCAUCAAAAGGAGGGAAUCAAUUACACAGAGAAUUUUGCACCCGUUGUAAAAAUGGUAACGGUACGCACAGUGUUAGCCGUAACAGGCACACGAGCUUAGGAAUUACAUCAGAUGAAUAUGCACAAUGCAUUCUUACACAGGGACCUUGAGGAGGUUGUGUACAUGAAGCCGCCCUCUUGGCUUUCUUCCUCAGCAUUAUGGCAUGGUGUGUAAACUUAACAAGUCCUUAUAUGGACUCAAACAUGCGCCUCGUUAUUGGUUUGCCAAGCUAUCCGCUGCACUAAAACACUACGGAUUUCAGCAAUCUAUUUCUGAUUAUUCUCUUUUCGUCUUGCAAAGACCGGGGGUACAUAUUGUAGUGUUGGUGUAUGCUGAUGACCUAAUCAUUUCGGGUGAUAAUUAUGAAGCUAUCACCGAAUUUAAAGCCUAUUUACACAAUUGCUUUCACAUGAAAGACUUAGGGAUCUUCAAAUAUUUCUUAGGUGUUGUAGUGGCGCGAUCUUCCACGGGUAUCUUUCUUUGUCAACGCAAAUAUGCUUUGGACAUUAUAGCCAAAGUUGGACUUCUGGGAGCUAAGCCAUCAAAGGUGCCAAUUAAACAGAAUGAUUGUUUGGCACUUGCAACAGAAUUGCCUUUUCCUCAUCCUGAUCAAUAUAGGCGAUUAGUAGGUUGUCUCAUUUACCUCUAUUUUAAUAGACCCGAGCUUUCAUACUGUGUGCAUGUGUUGUAUUAAUUUAUGUAGGCGCCUAAAGAGGCCCACUGGUUGGCUGCUCUCCGUGUUGUUUGAUACCUGAAAGGGAAUCCAGGACAGGGUGUUUUGUUGCGUAAGGAUUGUGACCUGCAACUAUCUGGUUGGUGAGACUCUGAUUGGGCUGGAUGUCUUUUAACUUGUAGGUCCCUUAUCGGAUGGUUUGUUCUACUUGGAUCUUCUCCAAUUUCAUGGAAAACUAAGAAACAACAAAUAGUAUCUUGCUCCUUUGCUGAGGCUAAGUAUCGAUCCAUGGCAGUUGUAACAGGAGAAUUGAAAUGGUUAAAAGGUCUUCUCCAUAGUCUUGGUAUCUUUCAUUCUCAGCCUAUGCGACUUCAUUGUGAUAGUCAAGCAGCGCUUCAUAUUGUCAAGAACCCGAUUUUUCAUGAGUGCACCAAGCACAUUAAAGUUGACUGCCACUUCAUUCACGACGAGUAUCUCACUCGCAAUAUUGCACUUACUUAUGUUCCUACACAUGCACAAUUAGUUGAUAUUUUUACUAAGGCUCUUGGUCCCACUCAGUUCACCUCUUUGUUGUGCAAGUUGGGGUUAUGUAAUUUACAUGCUCCAACUUGAGGGGGGGGGGGGGGGUAAUGAGAUCAUGAUGAGAUAACAAAAUCUGUUUGUAAUUAUAUGCAAUUAUUAUCUCGUAUUAUUAGCCUGGGAUCAGGUAAAUCAAUUUGUAAAGUCUAGACGUAAUAUGAGGAGUUUUAUUUGGAGAAUCAAUCUGUAUAGCUCAAUCUUAGGAGAUUCUGUUGUAACUCUCUUGUAUAUGUUUAUGCCUUAGCAAAACAUGAAAUACAUAACAAAAUUAUUCUGUCAUAGAAUUCUUUACAUCUGUUAUUAUUUAACUAGAAAACAUAAUAAAAAUAUAAGAAACUUAUGUUUUUGUGUUUUAUGUUUUAUUGGAAACUUUGUACUUUGUUAAAUAAAUGUUAAUAGAAUAGAGAAUAGAGAGAAAAAUCAUAUUUGAUUUUGGUAGAAAUGAUUUCCAUGAUUCAAUUCUCUCACAUUCUUGGUAUUUAUUCAUAGUGUGAGAGUAACUGACUUUGCCAUGUAGGCUACAACUGUGAUUAUAAUGCCAUGACUAACACUAACAAUAACAAGGCUAACACAAUAAAGUGUUGAGGAUAAAAGGAUUUGUAAAUUUAUUAAAUUGUAUGAGAAAACAGGGACAAGAAAAAAAGUAAAAGAGACCAAAACAUACCGAAUCAGAUUUCAUAUUAGAACAAGGGCCGAGGUGACCCUCUCUCAACAAAAUUCAGCUGCACUCAUCUUAUCUUAAUCUUAUACAGAACAAAGAGACACCUCCCCUGACAACUCUCACUCAUCUUAGCAAAGAAGUUAAGGUUCAGUGGUUCACUGUAUAAUGUUCUUACACUGGUUCAAUUAGUGAAUUGUUUUGAUACAAGAAUAGUUUCGUGCAGCUUUGUUUAUAAAUAGUUCAGCUAUUAAUGGUUUAGUGCAGUUCAGUUAUGCUUUGGUUUAUGGUUUUAUGAGUAGGCCUAGGUAAGAAGUAAAGAAAGAAAUAGGUAGGCUGAGCCAUGAAAAGAAAAUCAAAAUAGAAAUCAAUUAUAUGCCUAAAGACAUGGGGAGAAAUGGAAGAUAACUUACUCAUGGAUUUUGAUUAUCUUUGAUACCCUCCAAAUUAUGAACAAAAGAAACAAGCAGUUCUCUGUUUUGUCAGACUUAUCAACAUUAGUCCAAUGUUGGAAGCUUAGGAUUGGGUUUGGGCAUGGGCUGAUGCUUUGUGUGAUGGUCCUAACUCCUAAUAGGCUUAACUUGGUUUAGAAUUAGGCUCUGAUUUAUUAUUAUUGUAUUCUGAUCCUCUUUAAUUUAUUACCAUUUUAUGCUGCUAUUGAAUACUCAUUAACAGUAAAUUGGCAAGCUUGGGAUUCUUUUAUUAUUAUUAUUAUAUGUUGUUAUAUGUCUUUUGCUAUAGCGUCAUCUUGCACAUGAAUUUAAUAAUUUUAAACAAUCUAUCUUGUGCCACAAUUGUAAGUAUAUUUAUCUAACAAUUCUAUCUCAAAUCUUAUUUGCUAAUUGUUGUAUACAUGUUUAAAAUUCAUAUAACUUUUAUUAUUUAUGACACCCGGGCAUUCGUGCAUAGUGUUACUAACUAAUUUGUAAAUUGUAAAUAAUUUCCCAAAUCACAUGUGUAUAUAUUAACAUAAAUGUGUAUUAUCAAGUAAAACCACUAAAGAAAAAGCAAUAGUAAUUCCAUUCCCAACAAUUUAUCUUCCAACAACAUGAAUGAUUCAAGCAACAUACACAACAAAAGUAUAAUCACAAUCGACUUCCAAAACCAAACAACAUAAACAAGAAACAAAUAUGAUAACUGUUAUGAACAAAACACAUGAGGCACCAUUGCAAGCAGCACCAGCAACAAGGAAGGUUAUGGAGCAGCAGAGCAAAGAAGAAAUAGCAGCAGACAAGGUAGAGACAGCCACUAACCAAAAGGAGAAUAUGUAGGCCGCACUACCAGAAGGAUCAUGUGACCAGUGCCAAUAACAAGCGCUGAGCUGGCAGCCCCUCAUUGGUCGAAGGAGAUCCUGUUGUCUGCAAGGAAUCAUGCUCCACUACCAUUCUGUUAUUUCCUUUCGUACACCUUAGGCCUUGCAGAGGAAAUAGAAUAACUAACUAAGCAUUUCAGUGCCUAUAUAUAUGAAUCAAAUUGUAAAGGAAUGCAAGCAAUAAAAUCAGUAAUUUCCUCUCUUUAAUCCCCUUUUCCAGAGGUCCCCUAGUUCUCGAAUUCUAGAAACCAUAGAGCAGAAUCUCUGUUCAUAACAAUUUGGUGCUUUCAUUUAGCUCCGAUGGCGGACGACAAACUCUCCUCCGAGUGCUUGGACCGUCUCUAAGCUCUCAUUGCCAACCUCGUUGCCGCUCAACUCCAUUCCAUCGUGACUCUCGAUUCCAUAGUCUCCAAACUCGAUGCCAUUCUUCUAAAACGGCAUAUCCCGAUCCCAUCUUCAUCAUCGAUCAACAGUCACCACGUCGACAAGGAAGUUCCCAGUGACACCAUGGAGGAACUUGUCUCUGUGGGUUCGUCGCAGUUGUCGUCAGAGGUUCCCCCUCUGCCCAUAACACACGGUGCGGCGCAAGCGGUGUGGUUGUCGUCGCGACCCGUAUCGGCGUCGGAGUUCUUGGCCAAGCAGCCCCCUCUAGUGACGACACGUGGCGGUGCCAGUGGUUUUGCCAGAGGUGUUUCGCAUUGACCACCAACACUACCGCCACCGCCACCGCCACUGCAACACGGUCCCCUAUGGCAGCGUCAUCUGGCAUAGCGGUGCUACUAACGCAUUCGGCCCCCACGCCACUAAUAGAUAUUCACUUGCCUCUCUCCUUCGACCACUGUAUCUGCUGCCGUCACCUCCACCACCACCUCCGAAACCACCGCCUCCACCACGAGCACGAUCGGCGUGGGUUUGCGCCUUGUGGACAGUGAUGUUCAACUGUCAAGGUCUGGCCGUGCAAACCUCUAUUCACAACUCUCGCUCCCUCUUGUUGCUUCUUCUUCUGACCAUGCAACAGCAGUAUCUCUUCAAUUUGGUGAGUUCCCUUCGUGGCUUGCACUCAUUGGAGCAGCAGUUAGAGCUGCUGGUGUUUCCACGAGCCAUAACCUAGCAGAGAAAAGGCACAGGGAUAGGAUCGAUGCUUUGCACCGCCGGUCACCACCCAACCCACGCACCUUUACGAGGUUGGUAACCCUAGAGGAUUAUCAUUGUUAGGCCCCAACCAGCCCAACAACUUCAUUCAUGUACCUUUCUUCUUUCUAUAUCCACCCCCGUUGUUUUAGCUUAUUUUUUUAUUAUUGCCCACUUUUCUUUUUUAUUACACCUCCAUCUUUCCCAUAGCAAGCCCAAUUCACCCUGGCCCAACUCUCACUCACGUGUUAUUUUUCUUUUUUUCUAAACUCACCUCGUGUUUUAGCUAUUUUGUUUUUGAACUGUGCCACCAUGUUGUUUCGCAGUCUGGAUUUAAGAUCCCAACACCGUGAGGACAAGGUGUUUUUGAAGGGCAUGUGAAUGUUAUGAACAAAACACAUGAGGCACAAUUGCAAGCAGCAGGAAAGGUUAUGGAGCAGCAAAGCAAAGAAGAAAUAGCAGCAGACAAGGUGGAGACGGCCACUAACCAAAAGGAGAAUAUGCAGGCCGCACUACCAGGAGGAUCACGUGACCAGUGCCAAUAGCAAGCGCUGAGCUGGCAGCCCCUCAUUGGUCGAAGAAGAUCCCGUUGUCUGCAAGGAAUCAUGCUUCACUACCAUUUUGUUAUUUCCUUUCGUACACCUUAGGCCCUGCAGAGGAAAUAGAAUAACUAACUAAGCAUUUCAGUGCCUAUAUAUAUGAAUCAAAAUUUAAAGGAAUGCAAGCAAUGAAAUCAAUAAUUUCCUCUCUUUAAUCCCCUUUUCUGGAGGUCCCCUAGUCCUUGAAUUCUAGGAACCAUAGAGCAGAAUCUCUGCUCAUAACAAUAGCUGCAUGUCUGUGAUCUACCUCAUUUAUUCAUUGGAAUAGGAUAAGUAUCAGGUUAUUGUUGCUGUCUUCCUUUUCUCCAGUGGUCUCAGUUUCUUUCUAGUCCAAACCAGCGUGUUGUGCAUGCCAAAUUAACACCAGUCAAAACUAGAAGCUUAUCUCUAAGGUCAAACACAAGCUUAAAAUAUGCAUGUCUCCACGACCUAUUCAACACCAAGCUGCCACAGACUAACCAGAAGCCUGUAAUGUACCCAAGAGUUAUGCUUCCAUAUAACCCCAACUUUUCAGUCUUAUCAUUAUCUUCUUCAUGUUUUGUUCCUUGCUCUCCUCCAUUUCCAGGCAACCAUAAUGAGCAGUUAGUUGGCAUCGAAUUUCCACAAAGUUGAGGGUUGCCUACAUAAAUUGAUGGAUCAAAGGUGCCGAACUGAUUAGCAACUGGAAUUUGACUAGAGAGGUUAUUGUAUGCCAAGUUGAAAUAGCUCAAGAAAGUGAUGGAAACCAUGCUAGGAGGAAUUGAACCAGAAAGAAAGUUGUGUGAAAGGUCGAGACUUUCUAAAUCUAUUAAUAAUCCAAUGUUGUUCGAUAUGUUUCCCAUUAACUUGUUCCACGACAAAUUCAGGGUACCCAAGUGAAUUAGCUCUGUUAACUUGUCCGGUAUCUUUCCACAAAGAUCAUUAUUAGAAAGAUCAAUGGUGAAAUGCAUGGCGAUUCGGUUCAUGUAUUCAAUUAUUCUUCCUUUCAGGAUCAACUCAAUAUGCCUCAUGUAUGAUAAAGAGGGAAAAACAAUAAAUGGUUUCAUUGAAUUAAUGAAGUAAGUUUGCGACUGUUUGAAACUAUGCAAAUCACCCAAACAUUUUGGUAUAGAUCCUGAUAGGUUAUUUUCUGACAGAUCCAACAAAUGGAGAAAAGGUAGAUGACAUAAUUCUUCAGGAAUGCUUCCUGUUAGUGUGUUACCUCUUAACAGUAACUCUAAAAGUAAAGGAAGGUUUUUGUUGAUCUCUUUUGGCAUAGACCCAAAAAACAUAUUGUUUCCCAAAGAAAGAGUUUGCAGACGAGUACAAUUUUUAAAGGUUGUAGACAAAUCUGCCAAGAGGUUAUUGUUGCUGAAUUCUAGGAUAGAAAGAGAAGGCAGAGAGCAUAUUGAAGUUGGAAUUCUACCUGAGAAACUGUUGUUGGAUAGAUCAAUAAUGCUUAAUUUUUGCUUACUCAUCCAAAACACGGGGAUAGCUCCAGUCAUAUAAUUGUUAGAUAAAUUAACAAGUAAUUAAAUCAAAUCAAAAUUUAAAUCAAACUAAAUCAUUCAUAAAAUAUUAUUAAGUCAUUCUAUUAUUAGUUAUUGUUAUUAUGGACAAAACUUAGAUGCAAUAAUUUAGAUGUUUCCUGGUGUUAUUUUCUCAUAUGAAUCAUGUCAUAUAUCAAUACAAAAUUGGUUCAUUUCCAACCUAAAUUUAUUUUCAUUAUAUUUUUUACUAAUUUAAAUUUUAACAUUUUAUAAAUAUCAAUUCUAUAAAUGAAUAAUAUUUUCACUUAAAUCAAAUAAAAUUCCAAUUAAAAUGAUGCAUGUCCAAAAUAUCACAAUUUAUAUAGUAAAGCUUUAUACAAACAAAGUAAUAAAUUAAAAAUAAAAAAUAAUUUGCAUGUAGGUCGUCCUAAUUAAUUUUUAAAUUAGUAUUUAAUUUAUCAAUUUUAAUCUAACUCAAAUUUAAACAUACUAAUGGAGAAACUAAUAUUGUGAAGGAGACCAUAAUUGAGAAAUGUUGUGAAGAUCGGAGACCACUACUAUCUAUAUACUAUUCAUUAAUUAUUAUUGUGAAGGAGACCACUGAGUUCAGAGUCCAUAAACCAGACAUUUUAUUAAGCAAAUUAAAAGUGUGGGCAUGGAGGGAAAAGAGUAAUGAUAUCUUGUAUUAUUGUACACAUCAAACACUAAUACACAUCUGCUAGCAAACUUUUGGACAUGACACACUGAUUAAAAUAAACUGCACCGUUGUUCGAGGGGUAUCAAAUGUUGUCUUAAAAUUUAUCUUCAGUGUUAAUGAAACACCCGAAAGCAAUAUUGAACACUAAGGUGCUUGUAAUGACCAUGAGUCCGUGACCAUCAUUGAUUGCCUCACUACACUGCAAAAAUGAAACAUUAUCUUGUCAAAUUAAUAUAAGCAAAACUGCAAAAAGUAAUUAGGGGUGUUCAUAUAUGAGUCUUGUCUCACUAACACGACCCUGCUUGAAAGGACUUUUGGCAGGUCCGGGUUUAAGAAACUAGAACCAAUGCAUGUAGAAAAUGAGUUUGAGUACGUUAUACUCCGAAUUGUUCAACUUGGUCUAUAUAUAUAUAUAUAUAUAUAUAUAUUAAAGAUGUUUAAUUAAGUGUUAAUAAUUCUUUUCUCUUAAAUUAAAAAUUUAAAUACAUGUUACAUAGAGAUUAAUCGAUAUCAUAGACAAGUGGUAGUCCAGGACCAUUUAAUAACUUCUCCAUAAUCACCCUGAAAGUAAUUAAUAUGUUCAAAGUGUAUUGAAGCUAAAAAUGAUUACCUCAACAAUUAGGAGGUGAUUGCAGACCACAUUUACCAGGCAAGGCCAAAGCAUUUUUGGGGUUUAUUCCGAAUGAAGGUAGGAUAGACUUGUAACUGCAGAGGCAACGCAAAUUGGCUUGGCGAAUAACUGCACAACAUUUCUCAUCCGGUGGUGGAGGGUUUUGACCAGUAACUGCAGCACGACACAAGUUUAAUUGACUUGAGUCUAUGUUACAUAUUGCAACAGCUUGUGCACCACCCAACAAGGCAAUGAGCA
rnacentral:lncRNA from 1 species